rnacentral:tRNA from 2 species
GCCCGGAUAGCUCAGUCGGUAGAGCAGGGGAUUGAAAAAUCCCCGUGUCCUUGGUUCGAUUCCGAGUCCGGGCACCA